rnacentral:ncRNA from 1 species
CAACCUCAACUCAUAUGGGACUACCCCCUGAAUUUAAGCAUAUUAAUUAGGGGAGGAAAAGAAACUAACAAGGAUUUUCUUAGUAGCGGCGAGCGAAAAGAAAACAGUUCAGCACUAAGUCACUUUGUCUAUAUGGCAAAUGUGAGAUGCAGUGUAUGGAGCGUCAAUAUUCUAGUAUGAGAAAUUAAUGAUUUAAGUCCUUCUUAAAUGAGGCCAUUUACCCAUAGAGGGUGCCAGGCCCGUAUAACGUUAAUGAUUGCUAGAUGAUGUUUCCAAAGAGUCGUGUUGCUUGAUAGUGCAGCACUAAGUGGGUGGUAAACUCCAUCUAAAACUAAAUAUAACCAUGAGACCGAUAGUAAACAAGUACCGUGAGGGAAAGUUGAAAAGAACUCUGAAUAGAGAGUUAAACAGUACGUGAAACUGCUUAGAGGUUAAGCCCGAUGAACCUGAAUAUCCGUUAUGGAAAAUUCAUCAUUAAAAUUGUAAUAUUUAAAUAAUAUUAUUAAGAAUAAUGUGCAUUUUUUCCAUAUAAGGACAUUGUAAUCUAUUAGCAUAUCCCAAAUUUAUCAUAAAAUAUAACUUAUAGUUUAUUCCAAUUAAAUUGCUUGCAUUUUAACACAGAAUAAAUGUUAUUAAUUUGAUAAAGUGCUGAUAGAUUUAUAUUAUUACAGAGCGUUAAUUUUUCGGAAUUAUAUAAUGGCAUAAUUAUCAUUUGAUUUUUGUGUUUAUUAUAUGCUCUUGUAUGAUUAACAAUGCGAAAGAUUCAGGAUACCUUCGGGACCCGUCUUGAAACACGGACCAAGGGAGUCUAACAUAUGUGCAAGUUAUUGGGAUGUAAACCUAAUAGCGUAAUUAACCUUGACUAAUAAUGGGAUUAGUUUUUUAGCUAUUUAUAGCUAAUUAAC